rnacentral:rRNA from 1 species
UACGUAGGGCGCAAGCGUUUGUCCGGAAUUAUUGGGCGUAAAGAGCUCGUAGGCGGCUUGUCACGUCGGGUGUGAAAGCCCGGGGCUUAACCCCGGGUCUGCAUUCGAUACGGGCUAGCUAGAGUGUGGUAGGGGAGAUCGGAAUUCCUGGUGUGGCGGUGAAAUGCGCAGAUAUCAGGAGGAACACCGGUGGCGAAGGCGGAUCUCUGGGCCAUUACUGACGCUGAGGAGCGAAAGCAUGGGUAGCAAACAGG